ACUCUGUCAAGCCCAGGGAAAGGCGUGGGGUCAGAGGAUUUGGCUCUGUCACACCAUUCACUGCCUGCCCUUCUUCCCAGCGCUUCCAAGAUCUGGUUGUAUUAAACACGAGAAUGAAGAGAGGAAAACACCUUCGCCCACGGUGUGCUCUGGGGACAUCUCCAGGUGUGGGUGGUGGCGUCAGCCACAGGACAGGCCCUUGAAUGGUCUCCUGCCACAUUGCAUCAGGGUCGGUCUGCAUGGCCCACAAGUACAGCAGAAGUGAUGGCAUAUGCCUUCGAGGCUAGCUUAAGAAAGACACGGUGAUUAGCCUGCAUUAGUUUCUGCCUUGGGCUGCUCACUAUGGAAGCCAGCUGCUGUGUUGUAAGGAUGUUCACGCAGCCCUCUCAGAGGUCCCAGAGGUGAGGAACUGACGCCUCCUGCCAACAGCCAUGUGAGGACCCAUCUUGGACGUGAAUCCUCCCGCCUCAUAUCAAGCCCUCACGUGACAGCAGCUCUGCUUAAUAUCUUGACCGCAACCUCAUGAGAGACCCUGAACCAGAACAACUCACCUUAGUCGCGUCCAAAUUCCUGACUCUAAGUUACCAUUAGAGAUGACACACGUUUUGCUGUUGAGGCUGCUGUUUCAGGGCAAUUUGUUACAUAGCAAUAGAUAACUCAUGCAAAGCACUUGGCAACUCUAAGUGGUUUUUCCCACUGCGUGUUUGGGGAGGCUUCUGGACUGGGGUUUUGCCUCCUCUGCCAGACAGGAAAUAUUAGGGUUCCCAAAAGAUCACAGCAGCUCACUCAACAGCUCCUUCCCUCGCUCCUUCUCUCUUCCCAGCAAAUUGAAGGUACUUCCCUUUAAGCAACCAAAAUCCAACAACAGAUGCUUCAACAAUAGAUGCAAAAAGAAAUCUGAAUUGGGGGAGGGUGAGAAAAGAAAAAUAAGAAAAAAGGGAAGAAAAAGAUCCAUCCCUGUGAGGUCUGAGAAUAAAAGAAGGAAAAGGAAAAGAAAAAAAAAAAAAAAGAAAUCACCAGUGAACCCCUACCUGGCUAAAACAGAGUUUUCUCCUCAUCUCCACCCCCAGAGGUCUCCAGUCAGGGAGGUGACUGGCCUUGGGCACUGGUACAUUCCCAAACACUAUGUAAACAAGCCCCAUCAGACCCUUCCAGCCUCCGAAGCUGUCAUUGCCUCCCUUUUGCUAAGUUGGUAUUUAAACCUUUACCUCUGGCUGUACAGCAAGGUACUUAUUACCGAGUGCUCCCACAUAUGAAUAGACCUCGUCUUUUUUCCC
rnacentral:lncRNA from 1 species